rnacentral:rRNA from 12 species
CAGGUCGUCCAUAAUGUCCUGUGAGAGCCCGAUCCCGUCAGAUCUUGGAAGCUAAGCAGGGCCAGGCCUGGUUAGUACUUUGAUGGCAGACAACCUAGGAAGACCAGGGGCAGUUAGA